UUGAGCCGGGUGAAAGGAAACUUCCACACCCGAUUUUAAAGGGGGGACAAAACUGAAAAUUUCUUUUUUUGAUAACCAAAACUGGAACUGUUCGAUCGAUCUGUUUGCUUGUAUGCCCACCCUAU
rnacentral:ncRNA from 1 species